rnacentral:rRNA from 1 species
GAUUUCUGGCUUGAUACAUUUUGCCGGCCACGGUUUCGUGUGUUAGUGCAUUAUGUUCUGGCCAUCCUUCCAAUUGCUACUUACUUUUCUUCACUGAUUUGUAAGUGGUAUUGGAUCUUUUACUUUGAAAAAAUUAGAGUGUUUCAAGCAGGCUUUAUGCUAUGAAUACAUUAGCAUGGAAUAAUAAUUUAGGACUUCGGUUCUAUUUUGUUGGUUUCUAGGACUGAAGUAAUGAUUGAUAGGGAUAGUUGGGGGUGCUAGUAUUCAGCGGCCAGAGGUGAAAUUCUCGGAUUCGCUGAAGACUAACUUAUGCGAAAGCAUU